UGCACUCACUACUGUAAGAUGCUCUGGACAAGAGUGUCUGCUAAAUGACUAAAA
rfam:Salmo salar isolate Sally breed double haploid chromosome ssa07, whole genome shotgun sequence.